AGGCCCUGGAGCGCGGCGGUGAUGGCGGGGCCGGUGAAGGACCGCGAGGCCUUCCAGAGGCUCAACUUCCUGUACCAGGCCGCCCAUUGUGUCCUUGCCCAGGACCCCGAGAACCAGGCGCUGGCGAGGUUUUACUGCUACACUGAGAGGACCAUUGCGAAGCGGCUCGUCUUGCGGCGGCUGCAGGGGACAGCGCUGGACCGUACAGACCUGCCUAACAUGCCAGCGCAGCCAACGCUUCCUCAAUGAUCCCGGGCAUUUACUCUGGGGAGACAGGCCUGAGGCCCAGCUCGGGAGCCAAGCAGAUUCCAAACCACUACAACCCUUGCCAAACACAGCCCACUCCAUUUCAGACCGCCUUCCUGAGGAGAAAAUGCAGACUCAGGGUUCCAGUAACCAGUGAUGGAUUCACCCCAUCUCCCAAAUAAAGUUUACUUGUUUUACAUUCCA
rnacentral:misc_RNA from 1 species